rnacentral:lncRNA from 10 species
UCCACAAUAUGCUCACCCCAUUGGCCUAUUGAAGAAGUCCAUGAUGACUUUGCUCAUGACGGGAAUUAUCAGGAGGGAGCCAGGGACUAUAGAUCAGGAGCCAAAACUUGGAUAAUGAGGGGAACAUCUGUGAACACAUAGAAGAACGGUUAUAGCAAAACACAUGACUGAAUGGGACAAUAUAGUGAAAAUGCAAACUUUGGCCUAGAGUGGGAGCCGACGCCCCUUCACUGGUUGCAAUGUUCAACUCUGAACGAAAUGCCAAAAACAAGUACCUGAAGGCUAAAGACAGUGAACAAAAGCAGGCAAGUUUUGGUGGGAAGAUGAAACUUGGAAGAAGGUGCCAUUAAGAGGAGGUAUAGACUGAAUCUUUAACAUAUGCUAG